AAUAACAUAAAAAAAAAAAAAAAAACAAAACUCUCAUCUUCUUCCUCCCACCCAUAAACCGUUUCUCUCUCUCUCUCUUAGGUUUCUCUCAAAAUCCACCAUAACCACACAAAUUGGAGCUUUUAAACCUAGCUUCACUCCAUAAACCCUACCCAAAUUUUAUAGAAAAUCUCUAAUUAACUCUAAAUUGGAAGAUUGAGAGAAAGGGAGUGAAGAAAUUGAGGGAAGAAAGUGAAGAUUCAAAAGUCUCACAAGAGUGGAAAAGAAUACCGGGACAGAACCCGAGGAGUCGAGUCAAGGCCAACAGGCGACUCAUUUGAGAUAUAGAGACUAGAGGAGUAGCAGAUUGAGCUGCUGAGGACAGGGGAGCUACCUGCUAGAAGUUAUCGGGUAUAAUUUAUACCCUGACUGUAAAUAUUUCUUUUGAUGUAUAUAUUGCACAUAAAUGUAUGGACAUGUAAAAAUGGGUCUUGAGCAGUUUGUAUAAAAUUUG